rnacentral:lncRNA from 1 species
GAUCACCUGAGGUCAGGAGUUCGAGAUCAGCCUGACCAACAUGGAGAAACCCUGUCUCUACUGAAAAUACAAAAUUAGCUGGGCAUGGUGGUACAUGCCUGUAAUCCCAGCUACUUUGGAGGCUGAGGCAGGAGAAUUGCUUGAACCCGGGAGGUGGAGGUUGCAGUGAGCCAAGAUUGUGCCAUUGCACUCCAGCCUGGGCAACAAGAGCGAUACUCCAUUUCAAAAUAAUAAUAAUGAUGAUAAUAAUAAUUAUUAUAAUAAGGAGAAACUUACUUGGCAAAUUCAGAGAUGGGAAAUCUUGAAAGAGUCUCUCAAUUGGAAAUGAAGGAAAUUGGGCAGCAUUUUCUUCUUCAUUUCUCACCUUCUCCUCUAGGUACCAGACAGACUCCUGGGAAGUCAGGGAAGUCAGGAGAAAAAGUUUCAGUCUCGCCUAGGACAGAUAGGACAGAAAGCUCAUGUUGACAAGCCAGAGCUGAGGGGGCUGCCACCAGUUAAGAUCUUCUCAAGCACAAGCAUUCCAGUACUAUUAGCCCUCCCUUGGACACAAAGAGUAGUGGCCAGACUGGGGUCAUGCUCAACGUGGGGUAGCAGAGAUGUCUGUGGUGCCCAGAAGUAGAGAAACAGUUCCAGGCUCCAAGCAGAGUGUUUUGAAAAAGACUUUUUUUGUGAAGUAUCAUGAAGCCCUCUCUCAGCUGCAAAGGACUCUUUAUCAGUGACAGCAGUGACUGUAGUGAUGGGUGCAGGGGACAGACCAUUCAACCCAGCUGAAAGGUAUCCUAGGGAACCAGUGAGGAGCCCUGGGAUGUUCUGACACCUGCAGUGGGCACUCCUGUGUGUGCAACUCAGAAAUGCAAGAGAUUUAAUAUCUUUCUGGGCAGCCCGUGACCAGUGGUGAAGGCAACCAAUGGAUGAACCCUAUCCCCUUUCUUUCCUGGAUGGAUGAUUCUGAGAAGUGUCUCAUAAGGUCCUGCCUUUCCCUGCUUUGCUAAACUACUUCCCUGUUCUGCAUUCCUGCUCCCUCAGGUUCCAUUCUCAAAUAAGUCAUCACCAUGUGAGCCUUUGUCUCAGGCUCUGCUUUUGAGGAACCCAGGCUAAAAUAGGAAGCAUCAAUAAAUGUUAGUUUUUAUGAACAUUAUUGCUGAUCUUGUAAAUGCCCCUCAUCUAGAAUAUUGCUGCAGGAAAUUCAAUCACCUACCAGCUGUUUCUAGGGCUUCCUAGAAAUCCUUAUUCCAUCCUUGCAGGUGCACAGCUUUUGUUGCUUCUGCCCUUCCUCUCGCCCUCUCUAUAUCCCUUCCCUAUGCUACUCCGGCCUUCCUGGUCUGCUUCUCCUAGAGCUAUGAAUACGCAGGCUUCCCCCAACCUACCCCUUUCUUUUCCCAGGCAUGCUUAGUCCAGCGCUUCGUGGGCAACAGAGAUGCAUAUGGAAAACCCAUGGGGACACGCUUGCUUCACCAAAUAAGGGUAUUUCCCUUUUCCUUGGAAAAAAGAAUGAACAAAUGAUGGUUGUUAAGUAAACAUUACUAAAAUCUGUGCCCUUUCCCAGAAGUAUAUCGUGCAUAUUUAUUUUAAUAAGGCAAGAGAACAAAUAACAGUUUCUAGAGGCAAGGGAAACAGCUGAUUUACUGUCCUCCUUUUAGAACAUAGCUCAAGAGACUGGGUUUUGUUUUUGUUUUUGCAUAAGUAAUCUUAGAUCCAUCCUCUAUAUUUCUACUGCUCCCCCUGGGCCUUUGUUAUGACUUCAUCAUUUCCUGACUGGCUGACUGGUACUGUGUUAUAACCACCCUUUCCCUCCACACUUCCAUCAGAGUUGCCCUCUUAUAACUCACAUGUGAUUAUUGCACUCUACUGCUUAGAACCUGUCAAUGGGUCCCACUGUCCAGAUUACAGUGUCUAUAUUUCCCUUAUAAUCAGCCCUGCCUAUUUCUCAGAGUAUCUUUCUCCACUAAUUUUUCCUCACAGUGCACCUAAGCCAGCAGUUCUCAGCUUCAACAUCACCUGCCAACUUUUUAGAAAAUCAGAUUUGUGGGCCCACUUCAGACCUAUUCAAUAUGAAACUCUGGGGAUGAGGCCCAGUAAUCUGUGCUUUAAUAAACUCUCCAAGUGACUUUGAUGCAUGCUAAAUUUGAGAGCCACUCACCAAAGUGAAGCAGGUGCAGUGUAUGCAGUUUGAAUUGCCCUUAAUCCCCUAAUGCACCUAGAAUUUCCUACUCAUCCUUCAAAAGUCAUCACCUCUUUCAUGAAGCCUUCUCUGCCUUCAUCUAACAGUGUUUACCAUUCCCUGCUUGGUAUCUCCAGGACACUUCCAUUGUGAAGUGUAAAACACUGUUUUGCAAUUCUUGCAAACUUACUUGUCCAUCUCCCUGACUAGACUAUGAGAUGCUCAUGGGAAAUACUCUCUAAAAGCUUGUUUUAACUUUCUCUUUCCUGUUGGUCUCUCUCUGUCUUCAUGCACACAUGUAUACGGCUUCCAUAAAGAAGACUGCAGAAUAGAAUAGGGAACCACUGUUUAAAGUUCAUUGCCCUUUCCACCAAUUGGGAUCUCAUUCUGGCUGCCUUUUUUCCCUUUAUAUCUUAUUCAAUAAGCUUUUAUUUAAUUUUAACUUUUUUGUUAGUUUUUAAACUUUAAACUUUUUUAUUUCUAAUUUUUAUGGGUACAUAGUAGAUGUAUAUACUUAUGGGGUACAUGAGCUAGUUUGAUACGGGCACAAAAUGUGUAAUAAUCACACCAGGGUAAAUGAAGUAUUCAUUAUGUCAAGAAUUUAUUUCUUUGUGUUACAAACAAUCCAGUUAUAUGCUUAGUUAUUUUAAAAUGUACAAUAAAUUAUUGUUGAUUGUAGUCAUCCUGUUGUGCUGUGAAAUACUAGAUCUUAUUCAUUCUAUCUAACUACAUUUUUGUACCCAUUAACCAUCCUCACUGUCCCCCUACCCUCUACCAGCUACCCUCCCAGCCUCUGGUAACCAUCAUUCUGCUCUCUACCUCCAUGAAUUCAACUGUUUUAAUUUUUAGCUCCCACAAAUGAGUGAGAACAUGCGAAGUUUGUCUUUCUGUCCUGGCUGCCUCUUUUUGUCUGUCAUCACAAGGUGUGUAACUGACUUUGCCCCAGGUAUUAAGAAACAGAUACAGUCACCUCUCAAAAAAGGGGGCCAGUUAUCAGAAACAGGUCAGUUCCUGGCACUAUCGAUGAGUAAUUCUGUUUGCUUUAUGACCCUGACUCUCCUUUAAAAAUGAAUCAGUUGAAGCUGUAGUUGAUUAUGCUUUCUUUUCGGUCUUAGACCUACAAAGACUUUUUACUGACUUAGUAAAUAAAAGCUAAGCCACUUAAAGAAACCUUGAAGUUGUCUGUUUAGGGGCAUUAGUCUGUGUUAUCAUCUAGGGACAAACCUGUGACUCUCUUCUCUCUGUGUUAUAAGAGUUGGUUUUGGGCUAGAGAGAACUCCGUUGUGAACUCAGAAGACGAGGUGGGGGUCCCGGGAGAGUCAGGGCAGGUAAGGGAGAGACGACCCUGAUUUUAUCCUCCUCUAAUAGUGACUCCAUAGCUAUACAGAUAUUGGAUAGUGCCCUUCAGUGUUGAUAACUGGGAGGGAGAUUUGCUGACUCUAUCUGGAAAGAGAGCAGUUGGGAAGAUGUCCUGAUUGGCUAGUAGGCCAAGUUCUAUAAUAUUUCCUUUAUCUAGAUAUCCCCAGUGGCUAGGACAGUGCCUACUAUGCCGUCAAUUCUAAAUACAUUGUGGUUGAGCUUUUACAAUUAUAAAUUCCAGGGUUUGUGGGCACUAUACUACAUAAAAUCAUUUACCUUUUUCUUGCAGCUUGAAUUGGGCCAUACACUUUUUUGAAAAGUCUUAAUUUAAAAAGAUAGAAGCAAGCAGCCCACAGCUGCAUUGGUUUUUCUCUAGGUUAGAAGCUUUCCUAUAAACCAUUUGAUGAAGUAGCAGAUGGCAAAGUUAGAACCUUUGUAGCUCUAAGACUUAAUAGAAGCCAUGAUCAACUAUGGAUUGUCUUGUAACCCAAAUUGAUGCUUUUGUUGCACUCUGAUGGACUUGUCACUUGUUCUGCCUCUUGAUUAAUUGUGACAAAAAUCAUUCUAAUUAUACAUAUUGAACAAUAAAUCUUUGGUCAAUAUCCUCUAGAUAUAAUUUGUGUAACCGAAUACCCUCUUUUGAGUGUUGCUUUCAGAGCUAAAGCGGGAGGGAAGAGAUGGCUCUGACAAAUUCAGGGCAUUUUUGAAUAAGCAUGAAUUGGAUUAUAAUAGGCUGCGAUGAGAGAGCUAGAAUAUGGUGGAAUACUUUAUAUUCAGCAGAGCUCAUCUGGGUCCUGGCAAUCAGAAAUUCUGGGACACAGAUUUUCUUCACUAAAACUCUUAAUUUAUGCCCAUAAUAGGCUGAUUAAGGAUGUGGCAGUGGAGUGAUAUGAUUAUCAGCUCAGCUUCUUCAGACCGAAGUUAUAGAUCCCAUGAGCCACAUAUUCUGUUUCUGUGUGAUGAUGCCUGGAUGUGGGCCCUGUGUAUGUACAGUGAGUGAAUGGAUGCCUCUCCGGUGGAAGGAUGCUGCAAUUAACGGCCUGGACAGAGGAUGGGGACAUGAAUAAUGGUAGAGUCCAGCAUUAGCACAACACUCCAUUCAUCACUGCUGAAGGGCAAAUGCAUAACCCUCAAAAUGAUCCUGGAAAGAGGAAAAGGGAGAGGAAUUGCAAGUUCCAUGGAACAGUGAUUUACCAUGCAGCAGAGGAUGUGAGCAUCUCCGAAAUAGAAGGGUCCACAUAUUUUGAACUUUAACAUAUAUAAUGAUACUUAUAAUGUGACUGUUACGGGCAGCUGAUUUUUCAUACAAUUGACAUGUGAGUAUUUUCCAGGCAGGCAUCUUAUUUCCUGUGUAUGUGCCCCCUAUUUAUGCAGGACCAUCAACAGGACCAACAUUGAGUAGAAAUCAGUCACAGCAAACCACUUUCCUUUUUAUUUCAUGUACUCUGUACCCUCCUUUAAUGGCAACAUAAUUGCAUCAUAUCAUUGGUUUGUAGUGUGGAGGCUGUGGGUCUGAUUUUUAGUUUCCCAAUCCGUGCAGAAUAUUCAGAAGAAUAGAGGGUUGGAGACCUCUAGUUCAGGUCAAAAUCAGUGUGAAAGGCUUGACUUUGGAAAGGGUAAAGAGAGUUCAAUUUAAACUGAGUCUCCAGCUAGGGGCAGGGAGAGGAAAGAGGAGUUAGUCUCCCACAAGAGGAGACUAGCAUAAUCUUUGUGCCCUAAUUAGGCAUCCUUGGGCUUAGGGAAUUACUAGGGGAUACGGGAGUGUAAUGCAGGAAAACCAAGGCAGAAGUCAUGUCCGAGAGUCUGGAUCAAUCCUUCAGGGCAGGGGGUGGAGCAAGGGAAGAAAGGGGAGCUGUGCCAAGGGGUCUACCAGUGGGCCCAGGGCAGAUCCCAAGUCCAUAAGCAAUAGGAUCAGGUCCAGGUACCACCUUCUUGAAAUCUGAGGCUGCUGCUGUACUUCCUGCCCCUGCUACCUUGGGCCUGGGGCUGUAAAUGUCAUCAGAUAGUCCACCUGGAAGGGCCUGUGGAAAGCAAAAUCAGAGAAACAAGGCAGGAGCUGGCCACUUGUGAAAUUUUUCCUGGAAACUCUGUCAUGGAAUCAUGUUUUAGAUACCAGAAGGAAGGGCUGCUCUGACUAACUGACCAUGAAUCGGAGAAGAGGCCUGCGAUGAUCUAGGCAGUGGGUUAUGGGAGAGGAAUGGAAAACUGCAGAAUGGAUUCUCCAGCCCAUUCAGCGCUCAUACUACAUGGGCAUGUUCACAGACCUGCAGGCUUUGCCUUUGUCUGUCUCCCUGCUUUUGGAAGGGAUGGCACAGCUUUGCCCCCUUUCCUGGAGGCACAGUAGUCUGACUUGAGUCUUUCGCUGUCUUCUGUAUCCAACUCAUUCAUGAAAUUAUAUGAGAUAAUUUCCAAAUAAGUGACUUUUUUGGCUUAUUUGCCCAAUUGACUUAAUUAUUGCCGGUUUAUUCUUCUUGUUUUGGAUUCCUUGAGCUGAGAGAGUGAAAAAGGGAGUUUAUUUAAGAAGAUAAGGACAGAUUAGGUUUUCAAUUUGGUGGUAUGAUGCAGUCUGCUUUCUUAACUCUAUUAUGACCUAUUUAGUGUUUGUUUUUCUCUUAUUGUGGAAGUAACAUAUGCUGAUUAUAGAGAUAUAGAAAAAGAUAAAAAGUAUCCAUUUCAAUUGACCAAUAAUGUCCUCUCAGCAAUUUGGUGUAUAUCAUGUAUUUUUAAAUAAACAGAUUGCUUUGUAAAUACACUUUAUAUCUUACUGUUGUAACAUUAAAAAAAAGGUGGUUAAAAUGGCGAGCAAGUGCAGAACAGCAGCACUUGGAAAGUAAGCUGGGGAUGGCAAAAGCCUCAAUUUCUGUUUCCACAAAGCACUCUGUUCUCUUUGUUGAUCACUGAGACCCAGAAGCUACCAUCUCCAGUGGAACUGGAACCUUUGUUUUUCUUGAUCUCUGCAUCGUGUGGCUCAGCCCCGGUUGGAACUGAAGCUUGGAAUAAAGCCACAGUGAGCUGGGUCACACUGUUUCUUAGACUUCCCCCCACAGUACCUUGUUUGGAGAGAAUUAUAACUGAAAGGGAAAAAAUUCCCUCUGGCAAGAAACUUGGCUUAGAAAUGCUCAUUUGGAGAAGCUUAUUAUUAUUAUUAUUUUUUGGUUUUGCUGUUUAAAUAAGGUCACUGCUAUAAAUCAAUGUUUGUGAGUGUUAGAGAAGACCAAGUAAAUAAAUAAAGCCCUACGUAUUUAUUGUAAACAGAAACACCCUAGAGGUUCUCCAGGGGAAGAGAGAGUGAGAGAAAGGUCACCAUUUCUUGCAUACAGAAAAUUAACUGUUUCAUUAGUUUAGAUAGAAACACAUUUUUUCUUUAAAAUUAGUUAUGAGGAAAAUAUUUCCAAGUUUGUGCCUCUUAUUAGGUGUAUGAAGUAUCAAAAAUAUUAAGUACAACUAACAGCAUUAGGACUUGUUCUCACCUCAACUCCAUCAUCUGAAUAAAACCACUGAAAAAGAGAAAAACAGCUCCUGACGUAAGGAAACUGGCCUGAUAUUUACAUCUAGUUCAUAGUGUUUGCCUGUUGGACACAAAUGAUCUCAUAGAACAUCAACAACAGACCAAGGCACUCUGACUAUAAUGGAGUGAGAGAAAAAACAAGUGAGACAAGACAACUUCAAAAUUUUGUCUAAGCACAGGCAAAACCAAAUGACCCAAAUACCAGACAUCCUCCUCUCUUGGCUAACAUGAGUGACUAUCAAAGCUUUAGCCUCUAUGUGUUCCUCUUGACUUAUAGAGAAGAUUCAUUAGGAUACUGAUAUGGUUUGGCUCUGUAUCCUCACCCAAAUCUCAUCUUGUAGCUCCCAGAAUUCCCACGUGUUAUGGGAGGGACCCAGUGGGAGAUAAUUGAGUCAUGAGGGCGGGUCUUUCCUGUGCUGUUCUCGUGAUAAUAAAUAAGUCUCAUGAGAUCUGAAGGUUUUAAAAAUGGGAGUUUCCCUGCACAAGUUCUCUUCUCUUGUCUGCUGCCAUGUGAGAUGUGCCUUUCACCUUCUGCUGUGAUUGUGAGGCCUUCCCAGCCACAUGGAACUGUAAGUCCAAU